CCCGCCUCUGCCGUGGGCCUGCGAGAAUCGAGGCACUCGCUGGCGUACCCAUGUAUCGAAAUGAGUUCACGGCCUGGUACCGGCGGAUGUCGGUGGUCUACGGGAUCGGCACCUGGUCUGUGUUGGGCUCACUGCUUUACUAUAGCCGGACAAUGGCGAAGUCGUCAGUAGACCAAAAGGAUGGCUCAGCAAGUGAAGUACCCAGUGAACUCUCUGAACGCCCAAAAGGAUUUUAUGUGGAAACAGUUGUCACAUAUAAAGAAGAUUUUGUUCCAAAUACAGAAAAGAUCCUCAACUAUUGGAAAUCAUGGACUGGUGGCCCUGGUACAGAACCAUGACUGGCUGCUGAAUUCUGAAAACCAGGACUUGGUUCAACAUUUAAAUUUGAUAGUUGCCCUGAUUCCCAUUUUGGGUUUGUGAAAAGUGUAUGUAUUUAAAUUUGCUGUAAAACAUAAUCACUAAUAAUAUGCAAUAAAUAUUUUCUUGAAGGAAA
rnacentral:lncRNA from 1 species